rnacentral:rRNA from 1 species
CAGUCGCCGCGGGAAUACGAAGGGGGCUAGCGUUGCUCGGAAUGACUGGGCGUAAAGGGCGCGUAGGCGGUUUAUACAGUCAGAUGUGAAAUUCCUGGGCUCAACCUGGGGACUGCAUUUGAUACGUAUGGACUUGAGUGGAGAAGAGGGUCGUGGAAUUUCCAGUGUAGAGGUGAAAUUCGUAGAUAUUGGAAAGAACACCGGUGGCGAAGGCGGCGACCUGGUCUUUAACUGACGCUGAGGCGCGAAAGCGUGGGGAGCAAACAGGAUUAGAGACCCCCGUAGUCCCUGUCUCUUAUAC